rnacentral:rRNA from 1 species
CCUACGGGCGGCAGCAGUGGGGAAUAUUGGGCAAUGGGCGCAAGCCUGACCCAGCAACGCCGCGUGAAGGAAGAAGGCUUUCGGGUUGUAAACUUCUUUUCUCAGGGACGAAGCAAGUGACGGUACCUAAGGAAUAAGCCACGGCUAACUACAGGCCAGCAGCCGCGGUAAUACGUAGGUGGCAAGCGUUAUCCGGAUUUACUGGGUGUAAAGGGCGUGUAGGCGGGAUUGCAAGUCAGAUGUGAAAACCACGGGCUCAACCUUUUGUCUGCAUUUGAAACUGUAGUUCUUGAGUACUGGAGAGGCAGAUGGAAUUCCUAGGGUAGCGGUGAAAUGCGUAGAUAUUAGGAGGAACACCAGUGGCGAAGGCGGUCUGCUGGACAGCAACUGACGCUGAGGCGCGAAAGCGUGGGGAGCAAACAGGAUUAGAUACCCUAGUAGUC